rnacentral:lncRNA from 1 species
AUAAUGCACCAUUCAAAACUUAAAAAUAUCUUAUUUAUUCCCGAAUGACUAAAAUUUUCUUAUUGAUUUUUUUAAAAAAAUUCCUCAAAUAUUCUCUUUUCCCUCUAGGGGUUUACUAAUAGGAUUGAACUUUAUAAGGGUAUUUUGAGUACUGAGGAAUAAAUUAAAUCCGGCUGCUAUACUAUCGAUAGCACGGAGGCCUUCAUACUACCACCAAAUUGUUUUCAAUGACGCGGCUUCCAAAUCGACGAUCGACUCUAUUAGACUUGAUCUACAUUAUUGAAAGUAUUUGUAACUAAAUUUCACAAUUUUUCGUCAUCAUUUACUUAUCAAACGAAUAGUCUAAAAAUGAACAGUUGAAAUUAAAAAUCUCAUAAAAUAAUGAUAAAAGAUUUGAUUUUAAGAUCAGAGGUACCGAACUUGUUCUAAAUAGUAAAAAAAGAAAAAAAAAAAUUUCAGCAGAUUUGAAUUGUUUUACACCGUUAAAUUCACAAACAAAUGCAACAUAUCAAUCAUUAAAAUUAUCAAUUUUAAAAUCUUUUGAUCACUAGUCAAAUAAUGUUGAAAAAUUAUGAAAUUUAAUUCUCAAAUACUUUUAGUAUUAUAGAUCAAACCUAACGAAACCGAUCGUCGAUUUGAAAACCGCAUAAUUGAAAACAACUUGAUAGCACAGCGAACUCCGUAUUAUCGAUAGUAUAGCAGCCUAGCUCGAAUGAAUUUAAAAAUUUUCAACAAUAGCGAGGUCUAUCUAUAAAAUCAAAGUUCCCAUUCCCAUUUAUUUAUACUCGUUCGCAUAUUGGUGUCAAAAUUAUGUAUUUAUAAUAAGCACAAUUUAUUUAGAAAUAAUAUAUCUAAUAAUGCACCAUUCAAAACUUAAAAAUAUCUUAUUUAUUCCCGAAUGACUAAAAUUUUCUUAUUGAUUUUUUUAAAAAAAUUCCUCAAAUAUUCUCUUUUCCCUCUAGGGGUUUACUAAUAGGAUUGAACUUUAUAAGGGUAUUUUGAGUACUGAGGAAUAAAUUAAAUCCGGCUGCUAUACUAUCGAUAGCACGGAGGCCUUCAUACUACCACCAAAUUGUUUUCAAUGACGCGGCUUCCAAAUCGACGAUCGACUCUAUUAGACUUGAUCUACAUUAUUGAAAGUAUUUGUAACUAAAUUUCACAAUUUUUCGUCAUCAUUUACUUAUCAAACGAAUAGUCUAAAAAUGAACAGUUGAAAUUAAAAAUCUCAUAAAAUAAUGAUAAAAGAUUUGAUUUUAAGAUCAGAGGUACCGAACUUGUUCUAAAUAGUAAAAAAAGAAAAAAAAAAAUUUCAGCAGAUUUGAAUUGUUUUACACCGUUAAAUUCACAAACAAAUGCAACAUAUCAAUCAUUAAAAUUAUCAAUUUUAAAAUCUUUUGAUCACUAGUCAAAUAAUGUUGAAAAAUUAUGAAAUUUAAUUCUCAAAUACUUUUAGUAUUAUAGAUCAAACCUAACGAAACCGAUCGUCGAUUUGAAAACCGCAUAAUUGAAAACAACUUGAUAGCACAGCGAACUCCGUAUUAUCGAUAGUAUAGCAGCCUAGCUCGAAUGAAUUUAAAAAUUUUCAACAAUAGCGAGGUCUAUCUAUAAAA